rnacentral:rRNA from 1 species
ACCGGCUAACUCCGUGCCAGCAGCCGCGGUAAUACGGAGGGUGCAAGCGUUAAUCGGAAUUACUGGGCGUAAAGCGCACGCAGGCGGUCUGUCAAGUCGGAUGUGAAAUCCCCGGGCUUAACCUGGGAACUGCAUUCGAAACUGGCAGGCUAGAGUCUUGUAGAGGGGGGUAGAAUUCCAGGUGUAGCGGUGAAAUGCGUAGAGAUCUGGAGGAAUACCGGUGGCGAAGGCGGCCCC